rnacentral:tRNA from 1 species
GCGAGAGUGGCGGAAUUGGUAGACGCGCGGGGCUUAGGACCCCGUGGGGUAAAGCCCGUGGGGGUUCGAGUCCCCCCUCUCGCACCA